UAGUUUCUUGUUCCCUAUAGUCAUGACGUCUCAUCAUGUAAUAAAAAGCAGGUACAACUUAUUUCAACCAAAGCAAAUCCUAUAGGUAGGUUAUCUACCAAAAUAUAUUUAAACCAAAGUAAACCCUAUAAGCAUGUUAUCUACCCAAUUUUAUCCACAAUACUCUAUAACUACCCUCCAUUUUCAAUAGUCACCCCUAUAUUCGUUUACAAUUAAUUAUUAUAGAUAUUGGUUGAAUGAAUUACAUGAAUAAAAUAUAAAAUUAAGUUAU
rnacentral:lncRNA from 1 species